rnacentral:rRNA from 1 species
GUAGGGUCCGAGCGUUAAUCGGAAUUACUGGGCGUAAAGCGUGCGCAGGCGGUUUUGUAAGCCAGAUGUGAAAGCCCCGGGCUCAACCUGGGAACUGCAUUUGGGACUGCAAGGCUGGAGUACGGCAGAGGGAGGUGGAAUUCCACGUGUAGCAGUGAAAUGCGUAGAGAUGUGGAGGAACACCGAUGGCGAAGGCAGCCUCCUGGGCUAGUACUGACGCUCAUGCACGAAAGCGUGGGGAGCAAACAGGAUUAGAUACCCUGGUAGUCCACGCCCUAAACGAUGACAACUAGUUGUUGGGGGAUUACAUCCCUUAGUAACGCAGCUAACGCGUGAAGUUGUCCGCCUGGGGAGUACGGUCGCAAGAUU